GGGUUCGUGGUCUAGGUCGGUUAUGACACCUCCUUGACAUGGAGGAGGUCGGCGGUUCAAAUCCGCCCGAACCCA
rnacentral:tRNA from 1 species